rnacentral:tRNA from 1 species
GUGCCAAUGGUGUACGAGGUAUCACACUGCGUAGCAUAACGCAGAGAAGCGGGUUCGAGUCCUGCAAGGCACUCCA